AACGAACGCUGGCGGCAUGCCUAACACAUGCAAGUCGAACGAGACCUUCGGGUCUAGUGGCGCACGGGUGCGUAACGCGUGGGAACCUGCCCUUAGGUUCGGAAUAACUCCCCGAAAGGGGUGCUAAUACCGGAUAAUGUCUUCGGACCAAAGAUUUAUCGCCUUUGGAUGGGCCCGCGUUGGAUUAGCUAGUUGGUAGGGUAAAGGCCUACCAAGGCGACGAUCCAUAGCUGGUCUGAGAGGAUGAUCAGCCACACUGGGACUGAGACACGGCCCAGACUCCUACGGGAGGCAGCGGUGGGGAAUAUUGGACAAUGGGCGAAAGCCUGAUCCAGCAAUGCCGCGUGAGUGAUGAAGGCCUUAGGGUUGUAAAGCUCUCUUACCCGGGAUGAUAAUGACAGUACCGGGAGAAUAAGCGCCGGCUAACUCCGUG
rnacentral:rRNA from 1 species